GUUAAAUUAUGGAGUUGAACAAGCAGCUGGGAAGUGCAAGAGUAUAAGAAAACAGAGAGAAUCUGAGAUAGUUCACACAGACAAGAGUAGAAAGUUGGUAAUCGUGAGAAGAUAAGUUAUAAUUUCGCGUUUCUUAACCCUAUCCCUAUGAUAGUAAACCUUGAAAACUAUGUAGAUUACCAAAAAACUGAUAAA
ensembl:ncRNA W03G11.11 ncRNA